GAAUGCUGACAUAAGUAACGAUAAAGCGGGUGAAAAGCCCGCUCGCCGGAAGACCAAGGGUUCCUGUCCAACGUUAAUCGGGGCAGGGUGAGUCGACCCCUAAGGCGAGGCCGAAAGGCGUAGUCGAUGGGAAACAGGUUAAUAUUCCUGUACUUGGUGUUACUGCGAAGGGGGGACGGAGAAGGCUAUGUUGGCCGGGCGACGGUUGUCCCGGUUUAAGCGUGUAGGUGUGUGUUCCAGGUAAAUCCGGUUCACUCUAACACUGAGGCGUGACGACGAGGCACUACGGUGCUGAAGCAACAAAUGCCCUGCUUCCAGGAAAAGCCUCUAAGCAUCAGGUAACAUCAAAUCGUACCCCAAACCGACACAGGUGGUCAGGUAGAGAAUACCAAGGCGCUUGAGAGAACUCGGGUGAAGGAACUAGGCAAAAUGGUGCCGUAACUUCGGGAGAAGGCACGCUGACAU
rnacentral:rRNA from 1 species